rnacentral:piRNA from 1 species
UGGUGCAACAGAGAAAUGAGUGUUGAA